AAUUUAUUUUAAACCUCAUUUCUAUCCAGUGGUGAUCGUGGCAUGUUGAAACCGGACCCUGGUGUGGCUUUCUCCCCUCCCCCAGCACCAGGCCAUGUGGAAGGGAAGUGCAGGGUCUCCUACCCCAGAGACAGUGGCAGGCAUGUCUCAGCCCCGUCACCAUCCUGCUGUGUGCAGAGCCUGGGCCUCUGAGUCCUCAUCUGAGAACUGCACACGAGCCAGGUGCCCCGAGUCCCCUGACACGGACAGUCCUGCUGUGGCCAUACCCCUUCGCUGAGCCAGUCUUCUGCUGCAGGAGGGAGCGGCCUGCAUGGGAGCACGGGCCGUGGGGUGAGCCAAGCUCUCCUGAGUCACCGGGGUCAGACUCUUCCGCCCUGACCCGCACAAGACAGAGAAGGAAAAAGUGACUUCCAAGAACUGAGUCGCAUUCAGGAACCUUUCUGCCUUGAAAGGACGCUUUCUCUGCACCGGCUGGCGCUUGCAAAGGGCUCUGAUUCUGCCCGCCUGGCUUCAGUUGCGUUGUCCCCCAGCCAAGGAGGAGAUGGGUGGCCCGGCUGCCCUCCCAGAGCCCAGCUGUGCAAGCAGCGCUUUCUGGGAAGACAAAAGGAAUCUUCACGGAAGCCCCAGCUCAGCGCCACAUCUGGUCUGCGUCGGGGCAGAGGAACGUGUGGGGAGGGAACGAGAGUGUUCACAAUAAGUAGGACAACAACCACAUUUCCGGAGGGCUUGGGGCGCCUGGCACACAGGCCAUGAGACAGCUCACUGGGUGGUCCUAGAUGCAUCCAUCAUCCCCUCCAAAUGUCAUCUUCAGAGAGCCAGACAGAAUGUGCCUGCAAGGGCUCUGGCCGGCCUGGUCGCCCUGCUGGGUCACUAACUUUGUGAGUGCCCGUGGGUGGGCCCCUGUCUUUGGGGGCCUCCGUUUCCCCAUGUGUGGAGUGAUGGGGAAUGAGCCUCGGUUAGGGAAAGAGCCAGGCUUCCUCUGGUGGGGAGGAGUGGGGGUGCAGAAGUCAGGUGUGGAGCUGAGCUGGGGAAGGGGUGAGCUUGGUGAGACCCCGGCAGACAGGCUGAAGGGAGAAGCAGAUGCCGCUGGAGCUGCAGGGACGGGCCAGUGAGGGGUAAGUGGGUGUGCUUGAGUGGUUCUCCGGAAUGUUCCUUGGUGGGGGGGGGGUGGGCAGCAGGUGCUCACCCCUUUGAAAUCCUGCUCUUCCCCUCCUCUUGGCUGGAAUGCAGGUCUGCUAGUUGGAGCUGCAGCAACCACAUUGUGACUCUGAAGACAGACACCACUCACUAAGUAUGCUGAAGCAGAGAGAGAGGAGGAUCUGGGGUUUCUGCCAACCUCACAUCUGCAGGAAGACAGCUAUAACCUAAUCUCUUAUAAAUGCAAGACAGCUAUAACCUAAUCUCUUACAAAUGCAAGACAACUAUAACCUAAUCUCUGUUAUAAAUGCAAGACAGCUAUAACCUAA